CUGCUCACUUUGGCAGCACAUACAAUAAAAUUGAAACAAUAUAGAGAACAUUAGCAUGGCCCCUGUGCAAGGGUAGCACAAAAAUUCAUGAAGUAGUUCAUAUUUUU